UCAAGAACCUUCCGCAAUGGGCGAAAGCCUGACGGAGCGACGCCGCGUGAUCGAUGAAGUCCUUCGGGAUGUAAAGGUCUUUUGUGAGGGAGAAAGUUUAUUGAUAGUACCUCAAGAAUAAGGAGUUGCUAAACUCGUGCCAGCAGCAGCGGUAAUACGAGUGCUCCAAGCGUUAUCCGGAAUCAUUGGGCGUAAAGGGUGUGUAGGCGGUCAUACUAGUCUUUUGUUAAAACCUCCGGCUUAACCGGAGACCUGCGAGAGAAACGGUAUGACUUGAGAGUACGAGGGGUCUCUGGAACUCAUGGUGUAGCGGUGAAAUGCGUUGAUAUCAUGGGGAACACCAAAAGCGAAGGCAAGAGACUGGCGUAUUUCUGACGCUGAGACACGAAAGCGUGGGUAGCGAAUGGG
rnacentral:rRNA from 1 species